CCAGAAAAAGGGUAAUUAAAGAGGCAAAAAUGUACAGGAUUUAGAUACAGAGGUCAUCAGUCACCACCUUAUGCCUGUGGCAGCUGGCCAAUAUACAAUAAAAAUACAGUCGAAAUUUCAAACAAAUUGACAGGACUUUAAAACAGAACAUUAAUUUGCCAGUAGCAGAGUCAUCCCGGUGCCUUUUGGGAACAAGCUCAAUGACGCAUAUAUUACAGCAGCAUGUGUCAUUCAGGAGGAUCCUGGAUUUCUGGUGCUUGAGAAAUCAGUAGCAGAUUGAUGGGAGAGAAAAACCCAUAAUUCAGAAUUUUGUUUUUUGUAUGAAGUGUCAUAGGCAACUGGAAAACAAAGGGAUGGCAGCUGGUUCUGUAAAGGGUACUUAGAAGGAAUCUACCUUUUUUGUUCAGCAAGGGACUGAUCACUAAUGUCUGAUGCCAAUGAGAUUAAAAGUUAAAACUCCAACUCCAGGUACAGCAGAGUUGUGGACCUCCAACUUUUAUAAACGAUGACUACAUAGUAGUUCUGCAAUUAGUUUGACGCAGGAUGGAACAAGUAUCCAGAUGGUCAUGGCUUUGUGGCAAAUCCUGUUUCUGAUCAGAGCCGGCAACAGGUCCUGAACAGGCAGACAGAUAAGAGUUCACAUUGGAAUUAUAGCAAUUGUACACUGUAUCAGAUAGAUUUAGCAUUUUGAUCCAAUACUUGUUCACAGAUCAGCUACUGCAUUCAACUAUAUUAUGACAAUACCAGAGGCCCAAUAAGGCCUUGGUUUAAAAAUUAAUAGUAUUUGAGGGAUGCCAAUGGAGAAAAAGAAAGAAGGAGGGCUAGUCUUCAAUAGCAUGAAGUUUAUUGCUCGAGAAAAGGGAGAACAUAAAUAAAGUUUGCACAUGUAUAAAGUGGCUUGCAAUAGCCAAUUAAUAUAAUACAGUUAUCAGAAUUUAAAACA